GAGCUGCUGCAGAAGAAAGAAGAAGAAGCAGCGUGGGGACCUGGGCGGCAGGAGCGAGCAAGCAAGAAGAGGAAGCGGAAGCGUGCAGAUGCGGGGGGGAAGGAGAGAGGCUCCCUGGGCAAAGCACCUGUCCCGUUAGCGGGGGCACAGUCACGUUUGAGUUGAGCGCUGCCGGCGCCUCUGGCGUCCCGGCGGGCUUUGUGCUGGGCGACCUCCCUGUAAGCAGGGCUCGGGUCUUUGCUGUAGUUGGCCUUUUGCCUUGCUGCUCCUUUGGCUGCCUGGGGAGCGUGGCCCCCUGUAACGGAGGGCGAGAGCCACCUCUCCGCACCUGAGUGGGAAAUGGAGCUCGCCGGACCCCGAGGCCACCCUGUAAGCAGGGUAGUGCCGUUUCCCUGCCCCUCUUGGUCCUCCGGCCCCUCGGCAUCGUUGCCUGAUGGUGGCCUGUCAACGCGACGGCCCCGUACUCGGGGUGCGCGCCACAGCAUUUGGCAUUUGGCCUUUGGCUUUACCCGAGAAGCCCCAUGGCACGUUGAGGUCUGUGGCCUCCGUGCAGCCUAGGGACAGGUCACAGGCUCUUGUCUGUUGCCCGUGGUUGUGGGUUAAUUCCCAGGUGUUGGCUGUGCUGCGUUGUCCUUCCCUUCUGGAAAGUCGUGCCUGUGUGUGCGUGUUCCCCUUCCUUUCCUUGUUUGUGUUUGUGGAGUGGUUGAGCGGGUGUGCUUUCCCUUUAGGCCUCCACAAAGAUGGCUGCAGCUUAGCUUUGACUUCCCGGGGGGGAAUGGAGGACUUUGGUGCAUGCCGCAAAAGGGGUGUUCCCUCUUAGUCCUGCGAGCGCAGCGAGUGUCCUGUCUUCCUACUAUUUUCCUUAGUGCAGAUCAGAGCCACACGGUAGUUCUGUGGCCAAGGCCUCCCUGUAGCCAGGGCUUGGGCCUGUCCUUGCGUGGCCGCCUGUCCUGCUGGCGGCGGUGACAGCCCCGUACUCGGGGUGUGUGUCCCAAGCUUCGGAGCCCUCUGUCCCUGAGCAGCCCGCCCGCCCUGUAAUCAGGUGUGGGGAGGCUGCAGCGUUGCAGCCGGCUGCUUUAGCCAUCCAGCUGGUGGGAGUGACCCCUCCCUGUCCCGUCAGAGGGUGCAGGUUGAGGUGCUGUUUGUGUGUGGGGUGACCUCCCCGCUCGGUGGGUCGAGGUAGCUCCCUGGGCUUCCAAAGACGAGACGUUGGUGAUGUUCUGCUGCUGCCGGGCGGGCCAGCCUGUAACUCAGGCGUUGGCGGGAGCCUCGUGCUCCGCGGGGCUUCUUGAAGAGGGUGAGGUGGGGGGUACGUCCUGUAGGCAGGGCUGUGUGUGCCCCCCGUGUGUGCUUGGUGAGCUGCGUUCUGAGAGACCCCCUGUACUCAGGUGGGAAUGUGGCCCCGGCCUUUCAGAGGCGCGGGGCCGUGAGAUGCGGGUGGGGCUUGCGCCCUCCCUGGAAUCGGGGCUGGGAUCCCGACUGCGGCCUUUGGCCGUGCCGCCCCGCUGCCUGGCUGCUGAGAGUUGCUCCUGCCGCUGGGGGGGAAACCGAGCUCUGUGGCUCCAGGGGUGUUGUCCACCCGCCUGUAAUCAGGGUCUGGGUGCGCGAGCGUUUGUGCUCUGCUGGCAGCCUGUGUGGGGUGACCGCCCCGCUAGCGGGGUGUGGGUCGAGGUGCCCCGGACUGGGAGAGAAGGAGCCUCCCUCGGCCGUAGGGAUGGGGGCUGCCCUGUAAGUCAGGGAGCAUCUGUGCCCGGAGUCCCAGGCCCUUUUCGAUGGCGGCAGUGGCCGGGGGUCCCCUGUAAGCAGGGAAGCUGACUCUUUGGCUGCUGCUUUUUGUGUGCCCAGCCCCAUUUGCCCGGUCUGCCCGCCUCUGUGAUCCCCCGCAGCACUGGCUGGAAGUCCGCCGCGUGUCAGUGAGGAGCUGCUGCAGAAGGAAGAAGAAGAAGCGGCGUGGGGAGCUGGGAGGCAGGAGCAAGCAAGAAGAGGAAGCGGAAGCGUGCAGAUGCGGGGGGGAAGGAGAGAGGCUCCCUGGGCAAAGCACCUGUCCCGUUAGCAGGGGCACAGUCACGUUUGAGUUGAGAGCUGCCGGCGCCUUUGGUGACCAGGCUGGCGUUGUGCUGGGCGACCUCCCCGUAAGCGGGGCUCGGGUCUUUGCUGUAGUUGGCCUUUUGCCUUGCUGCUCCUUGGCUGCCUGGGGAGCGUGGCCCCCUGUAACGGAGGGCGAGAGCCACCUCUCCGCACCUGAGUGGGAAAUGGAGCUCGCCGGACCCCGAGGCCACCCUGUAAGCAGGGUAGUGCCGUUUCCCUGCCCCUCUUCCUCCCCGGCCCCUCGGCAUCGUUGCCUGAUGGUGGCUUGUCAA
ensembl:lncRNA